rnacentral:piRNA from 1 species
AAUUUUGAUUGAAGAGCUUGUGCCAUAACC